AUUUUUAAAAAAAACUAAAAAAUUUCUCUCUGAAAGAGAGAGGAAGGGAGCUCCGGUUCUGGCCUUCGUACGCCACGCGCCGGUCCACGCGCCGCCCUAAGGGCCACUGUAUAUGAAGAUCAGAAGGUUUAAAAAUCCUCGUCUCUCAAGAUCCAAAACAAGUAGUUCUUCUCCUUUUCAAAUCCCUUAGUAUUUUGCUAAACAGUUCAUAUAUAUGGGCAAAAAAAUAGAGAACAAGUCACUCGAUUAUCACCUUUGAAACUGUUUGUAUUCGUUUUUUAUUUCUGUAUCUGUGUCCUCGUUAUAAGGGUUACAAAGGCUUUUUUUAUAGCCUACUGAUUUGUUACAUAAGGAAAGAAAUCUCUGAUUUCCUGUAUCUUUGACUGAUGUGCUGUGAUUUCCUUGCCAUUUUCUACUCUGCUUUUUCGCAUAUCUGCUGUUUGUUUCCUUUUCUUGCAGGCAAUUGAGCGAGGGAUCCGGCAGUGACCAUGCUGGUGUAGACGCGUGCACUGAUCACGGUGCUGAUGGAGCAUUGGUGAUGGUCAUGACGUAAUUUGGGGCCAGACCAAUGGACGACCGAUGAUCGGGGCGUUGAUGAGCAUUGAAGCCCCUUGGGACAACUCAUUAAACAGUGGCCUCGAUUUGGGGGUUACCAGACACUCCCCGAAGCUUUCAGAAAUGUUUGCGGCGCCACAGCAUUUAGGAAACCCCAGGGUUUCCCUGUUUCUCUUAAGUCUGUUGGGCCUUUUGGGCUGUUUUGUUUUGGGUCAAGGUCUGUAAUGUAAUGGAUUAGGUCUGACUUAGGCUAGCAGGGAUAAUGAGUCUGAUGGGCUGCUGGGUGUAACGGGUCUUAUUUGGGUUUGGGUUUAGCUUAGGGGUAUUAGGUAUUGUUUUCGCUAUUGGGUUAUACCCGAAUAUGGGUUUUUGUAUUUGGGCUUUGGGUAGCAACAGUAGGCCUGGACUUUCAAUGGACUUUUUAAUAAAUGUUUAUUUAUUUAUCUAAUUUUUUCUUUAUUUAAACCCGGUCAAAUUUGGG
rnacentral:lncRNA from 1 species